rnacentral:rRNA from 1 species
CCUACGGGUGGCAGCAGUGAGGAAUCUUUCACAAUGGGCGAAAGCCUGAACCAGCCACGUCGCGUGCAGGAUGAAGGCCCUCCGGGUCGAAACUGCUUUUAUAAGCGAGAAAUAUGCUGGGAACUUAUGAAUUAGGAUCGGCUAACUACGUGCGAGCAGCGGCUGUCAUACGUAGGAUCCGAGCAUUAUUCGGAGGGACUGGGUGUAAAGAGGUGAGUAUGGGGGAUAAUAAGUAGCUAGUGGAAUCUGGUGGCUCAACCAUUCAGACUAUUGGCGGAACUGUUAGGCUUGAGACCGUUAGAGGAAUGUGGAAUGUGUGGUGUAGGAGUGAAAUGCGUAGAUAUUA